rnacentral:rRNA from 1 species
UCCGGAAUUAUUGGGCGUAAAGAGCUCGUAGGCGGUUUGUCGCGUCUGCUGUGAAAACCUAAGGCUCAACCUUGGGCUUGCAGUGGGUACGGGCAGACUAGAGUGCGGUAGGGGUGACUGGAAUUCCUGGUGUAGCGGUGGAAUGCGCAGAUAUCAGGAGGAACAACGAUGGCGAAGGCAGGUCACUGGGCCGCAACUGACGCUGAGGAGCGAAAGCAUGGGGAGCGAACAGG